rnacentral:tRNA from 1 species
UCCCUGGUGGCUCAGACGGUAAAGUGUCUGUCUACAAUGCAGGAGACCCAGGUUCAAUCCCUGGUUUGGGAA